rnacentral:rRNA from 1 species
CAGUCGCCGCGGGAAUACGUAGGGUGCGAGCGUUAAUCGGAAUUACUGGGCGUAAAGCGUGCGUAGGCGGUGAGUUAAGUCUGCUGUGAAAUCCCCGGGCUCAACCUGGGAAUGGCAGUGGAUACUGGCUCGCUAGAGUGUGUCAGAGGAUGGUGGAAUUCCCGGUGUAGCGGUGAAAUGCGUAGAGAUCGGGAGGAACAUCAGUGGCGAAGGCGGCCAUCUGGGACAACACUGACGCUGAGGCACGAAAGCGUGGGGAGCAAACAGGAUUAGAUACCCCAGUAGUCCCUGUCUCUUAUAC